GCCGGGGUGGCGGAAUGGUAUACGCGCAAGACUUAAAAUCUUGUGUCACAUUUGUGAUGUGCGGGUUCGAGUCCCGCCCUCGGCACCG
rnacentral:tRNA from 1 species